AUUGAACGCUGGCGGCAUGCUUUACACAUGCAAGUCGAACGGCAGCGGGGAGGAGCUUGCUUCUCUGCCGGCGAGUGGCGAACGGGGGAGUAAUACAUCGGAACGUGUCGAGAAGAGGGGGAUAACCACCCGAAAGGGUGGCUAAUACCGCAUAAAUUCUGAGGAAGAAAGCUGGGGACCUAGGAAUAGGCCUAGCGCUUUUUGAGCGGCCGAUGUCGGAUUAGCUAGUUGGUGAGGUAAAGGCUCACCAAGGCGAAGAUCUGUAGCGGGUCUGAGAGGAUGAUCCGCCACACUGGGACUGAGACACGGCCCAGACUCCUACGGGAGGCAGCAGUGGGGAAUUUUGGACAAUGGGGGCAACCCUGAUCCAGCCAUGCCGCGUGUAUGAAGAAGGCCUUAGGGUUGUAAAGUACUUUUGUUAGGGAAGAAAAGUCAGCUGUGAAUAAUGGCUGAUACUGACGGUACCUAAAGAAUAAGCACCGGCUAACUACGUG
rnacentral:rRNA from 1 species